CCUACGGGGGGCAGCAGUGAGGAAUAUUGGUCAAUGGGCGAGAGCCUGAACCAGCCAAGUCGCGUGAGGGAGUACUGCCCUAUGGGUUGUAAACCUCUUUUGUCGGGGAGCAAAAGCCUGACGUGUCCGGCUGUGAGAGUACCCGAAGAAAAAACAUCGGUUAACUCCGGUCCCGCAGCCGCGGUAAUACGGAGGAUGCGGGGGUUAUCCGGUUUUAUUGGGUUUAAAGGGUGCGCAGGUGGAUUUUUAAGUCAGCGGUAAAAUCGUGGGGGUCAAACCCAUCCAGCCGUUGAAACUGGGGAUCUAGAGUGUGCGAGCGGUAUGCGGAAUGCGUGGUGUAGCGGUGAAAUGCAUAGAUAUCACGCAGAACACCGAUUGCGAAGGCAGCAUACCGGUGCACAACUGACGCUCAGGCACGAAAGCGUGGGUAUCGAACAGGAUUAGAUACCCCAGUAGUC
rnacentral:rRNA from 1 species